AAUAUGGCGACAUCGUUUACUUGCAGAUUUUUAUUUCCGUGUAACUUUCUGCAUUAAAAGUUGAAGAGAGAGAACUCGACUAUAAAGAAUAUUUUUAUUUCCGUGCAAUUUUCUGCGUUAAAAGUUGAGAAGAGAGAAAUCGGAGAACUUGAUUAUAAAAAAUUCUCUUGGAGCGUACGCCUUAGACUUUCACCGAAAGGAACUCUUAACCGUUCAUUCAUAAAUUGAUGAUUGAAGGUUCUCCUGUUCUCCGUUUGGUCACGAGUGAUAUGCUCAUGCGCGUUUCACGCGUAGCGGCACGAGAGAGAUCAACUCUACUCUUUAUAACGUUUUUUUCUUGAAUAUUACAUCGCAGAGAGUCACGACAGAGCUAAAUGCACGCGAGCACAGCCUAUCAUGAAAAAGGAACAAGGGCAACGGUAGGAGAUUACAGCAGAAGAAGAAGCUGUGGCACGUGACCCCGAAGAACACCAGAGUCAACUCGCUUAAGUAGCCGAGCUCUGCUCUUUGACCCAGCCGACAAUUUCAAAUUAUGUCUCUCGGAGGGAGAGUGGGACAGAGAGAUAGAGAGAGAGAGAGAGAAAAGAAGGAGAGAGCGGAUAUAUACUAUAGUCAGAAACAUACUCCCCUCCUUGCAAUGAAGGUAUAUGAAAUACUGCCAAUGUUUCCGCGGCGAGAUAAAUUCGCGAGAAGGACUCGCGGCCAACUGGAGAAUCGCUGAAGACUGCAACAACGUGCGUAGUUGUAGUUUGCUGAGGAAGACAAAUGAUCCACUCGGACGCGAGACAGUUAGCGUACGGCGGAGAGGCGUCGUUGGCCACGAAGAAGCGCCUCUUGGUUCGCCCUAGGGCACGCCGAGCCGAGGCUCGCUCGCUUGAUCUCCAUUGCCAUUAUGAUAUUAAUGAAAUGCCGCUAAAAAGGUGUGUUUGCUCGGUAACACGAGGCCCGUAGCCAGGGUGGGAGGAGGCGAGAUAGAUGUUAAACCUACGUAAAAUGCUCUUACCCGAUAUGGGCGCGCGCACGCCUGUGAUUAUGCCACCGCCGUAGAGAUUUAGAGUGUUGUCGUAGCUGUUUCCGUCGUUGUCGUCAUC